GGGGGGAGGCCGGAUCCUGGGCUGUUUCCCCGCGCCCUGUGCUCCGGAGCCUGCGCUGUUGGAUUCGCGCUCCCGCCCCGCAGCCCCCU
rnacentral:pre_miRNA from 1 species